rnacentral:lncRNA from 10 species
UGAACCCAGGACGCAGAGGUUGCAGUGAGCUGAGAUCAUGCCACUACAUUCCAGCUUGGGCGACAGAGCGUGACUUCAUCUCAAAAAAAGGAAGAAAAAACUACCUAAUAAGAAAGUUUAAGUCUGUAAGGGUACCCUUCAUAACCCAUUUGCAUUCUGGUUGCUUCCUUUUUUGAAAGAAGGGCAGAGCUACCUCUCUAGUAUGCAGAGGUGUGCAGCCUAAAUGAGAAGGUAUUCAAGACCCUACUAGUGUCUGACAUAAUAAAUGUCAACUUCAUUGACGCAGUUCUUGGUAUAACCAAAAAAGCUUGAGAUGGCCAUGAUUAUGUAUGACUAGCUCUUCUUUAACAUUUUUCUUAACAUUAUUUCUCCUAACAUUAUUUCAAACAGCUACAAAGAUUUAACCAAAGGGAGGAGAAAAAAAAACUACCAAUUUUACCCUAUUAUUUAAAGCAGGUAGUUCAAAUAAGUAGCUUCUCUCAUAGACAGAAAUUAAUGUUGGCCGGGCGCGGUGGCUGACGCCUGUAAUCCCAGCACUUCGGGAGGCCGA